rnacentral:rRNA from 1 species
AACGAACGCUGGCGGCAGGCCUAACACAUGCAAGUCGAACGGGUGUAGCAAUACAUCAGUGGCGCACGGGUGAGUAACGCGUGGGAACGUGCCCUUCACUACGGGACAACGUCGGGAAACUGACGCUAAUACCGUAUAAUGUCUCCGGACCAAAGAUUUAUCGGUGAAGGAGCGGCCCGCGUCUGAUUAGCUAGUUGGUGAGGUAAAAGCUCACCAAGGCGACGAUCAGUAGCUGGUUUGAGAGAAUGAUCAGCCACACUGGGACUGAGACACGGCCCAGACUCCUACGGGAGGCAGCAGUGAGGAAUCUUGGACAAUGGGCGCAAGCCUGAUCCAGCCAUGCCGCGUGAGUGAUGAAGGCCUUAGGGUUGUAAAGCUCUUUUGCCGGGGAUGAUAAUGACCGUACCCGGAGAAUAAGCCACGGCUAAAUUCGUGCCAGCCGCCGCCGUAA